AGUUUUUGUGUGAUCGUCAAGCCUCUGGAUAACUGCAGUGAGGAAUAGCACCCCGUUGAGGGCAACAAUGCCUUGAGGUGAACGUCCAUCCCUCAGAUUGAAGGAGGAGGAGGUGGGAAGGAGGAGACAAUGAGAAGAGGCAAGCAUAAUGGCAGAAAAGAGAGAGAAGACAAAAUGAAAAAAAUCUAAAAAAAAGCUUUUCGUACUAGAAAUUUAUUGCGCCAAGGCAAUAAAAAUAUUCCUGUGACUGACAGGAAUGAUGCCUUAGAUGAUGCGGGGGAAUAAAGGAUGAGGCUCCGAGCCGAUCCCUUUGCAGCAAAGCUAUCACCAAAAAUGCCGGGCCAUUUGCCGAGAUGCUCUCGGCCACUUGCCAGCUGUAAGUAAUUGGGAUCCGGAAUCGUCAGAUGAGUGAACUCCAUCUGGAUCGCCUGGAAGCAGCUGCGCUUCAUCCCAAGAUCCUCGGGAUGAUAUGGACACAAAGGCAACUCGUUUUCAGGUAGCGUGAGCUACAUUUAGCGAUCAAACAAUUCUCCCUUCUCCUCUCCUUCGAUCAUUGUUACAUAAACAUAAUUUAGUUCCACUAGUUCAUGUUACAAUGUAACAUCUGUUGCCAGUACUGAUUAGAAUUUUCUAUUUACAGCUUGUCCAUCUUGCAGUAAUGCAACACCCGCGAGUCGAAUGUCUUUUAGGAAUGCGAUGAAGAAAAGUUAUGCAUCCAGCAGAUGUUUGACUCCCAUUCCAGUAUGCAGUGCAAACAAAAAACGUAAUUUAAAGCUUUUUUUCCUCCACGUCCCACUACAGCAAUUUCAACAAUGUAUUGUUAUAGUAAUAGUUAUAUUUCUAAACUGCACUGGUUGAGCUUCGAGCAGAAGUAGGUACUGGUUUCAAGGACAAUGGCAACCACACAAGGUCCCAUUCACUGCCACCAAAGAAUAGAAUCAAGAUAUGGGUAAAACGUUGCUAAAUAUUAUGCGCAAGGUAAUAAAAACCUGGACUAUUGAGCAAACGGUAGAGGAGGAAGAAAGUGCAGGUGUGGGAGCCCCGUUUGUGCAUACAUUUUUGUCUAAUGUAAAUCCUAUACAUAGUUAUACUUGUAAAUAAAUUAUUUGUCUGUCCAAA